GGCCUUGCGCUCUUUGAGCGGCCGAUGUCAGAUUAGCUAGUUGGUGAGGUAAAGGCUUACCAAGGCGACGAUCUGUAGCGGGUCUGAGAGGAUGAUCCGCCACACUGGAACUGAGACACGGUCCAGACUCCUACGGGAGGCAGCAGUGGGGAAUUUUGGACAAUGGGGGCAACCCUGAUCCAGCCAUGCCGCGUGAGUGAAGAGGGCCUUCGGGUUGUAAAGCUCUUUCGGCCGGGAAGAAAUCGCAUGGGCCAAUACCCUGUGUGGAUGACGGUACCGGAAUAAGAAGCACCGGCUAACUACGUGCCAGCAGCCGCGGUAAUACGUAGGGUGCGAGCGUUAAUCGGAAUUACUGGGCGUAAAGCGUGCGCAGGCGGUUUUGUAAGACAGGCGUGAAAUCCCCGGGCUUAACCUGGGAACUGCGUUUGUGACUGCAAGGCUAGAGUACGGCAGAGGGGGGUGGAAUUCCACGUGUAGCAGUGAAAUGCGUAGAGAUGUGGAGGAACACCAAUGGCGAAGGCAGCCCCCUGGGUCGAUACUGACGCUCAUGCACGAAAGCGUGGGUAGCAAACAGGAUUAGAUACCCUGGUAGUCCACGCCCUAAACUAUGUCAACUAGGUGUUGGGUGGGUAAAACCAUUUAGUACCGUAGCUAACGCGUGAAGUUGACCGCCUGGGGAGUACGGCCGCAAGGUUAAAACUCAAAGGAAUUGACGGGGACCCGCACAAGCGGUGGAUGAUGUGGAUUAAUUCGAUGCAACGCGAAAAACCUUACCUACCCUUGACAUGCCAGGAACUUGCCAGAGAUGGCUUGGUGCCCGAAAGGGAGCCUGGACACAGGUGCUGCAUGGCUGUCGUCAGCUCGUGUCGUGAGAUGUUGGGUUAAGUCCCGCAACGAGCGCAACCCUUGUCGUUAAUUGCCAUCAUUUAGUUGGGCACUUUAACGAGACUGCCGGUGACAAACCGGAGGAAGGUGGGGAUGACGUCAAGUCCUCAUGGCCCUUAUGGGUAGGGCUUCACACGUCAUACAAUGGUCGGUACAAAGGGUUGCCAAGCCGCGAGGCGGAGCCAAUCCCAGAAAGCCGAUCGUAGUCCGGAUUGCAGGCUGCAACUCGCCUGCAUGAAGUCGGAAUCGCUAGUAAUCGUGGAUCAGCAUGUCACGGUGAAUACGUUCCCGGGUCUUGUACACACCGCCCGUCACACCAUGGGAGCGGGUUCCGCCAGAAGUAGGUAGCCUAACCGCAAGGGGGGCGCUUACCACGGCGGGGUUCGUGACUGGGGU
rnacentral:rRNA from 1 species